rnacentral:rRNA from 1 species
AUUGAACGCUGGCGGCAGGCCUAACACAUGCAAGUCGAACGAGUGGCGGACGGGUGAGUAAUGUCUGGGAAACUGCCUGAUGGAGGGGGAUAACUACUGGAAACGGUAGCUAAUACCGCAUACCAUCGGAUGUGCCCAGAUGGGAUUAGCUAGUAGGUGGGGUAAAAGCUCACCUAGGCGACGAUACCUAGCUGGUCUGAGAGGAUGACCGGCAACACUGGAAAUGAGACACGGUCCGGACUCCUACGGGAGUGAGCAGUGGGGAAUAGUGCACAGUGGGCGCAAGUCUGAUGCAGCCAUGCCGCGUGGAUGAAGAAGGCCUUCGGGUUGUAAAGUAAUUUCAGCGGGGAGGCGUUACCCGCAGAAGAAGCACCGGCUAACUCCGUGCCAGCAGCCGCUGUAAGAC